GGGCUUGACUGAAGUAAUGGGGGCUGUCUGUGAAGCCUUGCGGCAGUACAGCCCAGGGGGCUUCCAAGGCAGUCGGGCAGCAUCAGUCUUCAGCCGCUAAGCCAAGAAGAUCUGGGAAGCAGUCAGAGAGCCUUGGGCCAGAGUUCCAGGGGCUCUGGGAGUGGCUGCCAGUCUAUCUUUGUUGAGUUUUGGUAUUGAUUUUAUGUGUCAGUACCUGAGAAGGAGAGAAGUCCUUGAGUUGUUUCGUAAAUGUGGCUCAAGUGAGAUGCUGAACAGUGCCAGCCAUGUGGACUCUGCCACAGUGAAGGAGGAAGGCAGCACUGAGAAGUGAAGGAAUAUUUGGGAGGAUCAGAAGCUUGGUCCUGAUUUUGCCAUCAACAGGAACUUGAUGACUUCAAGGGAGUCCCCAAACCCUGGGUUUCUGUUUUCUCAACUCUAACAUGAGGGGCUAGAUGCAUCUGGUUUAGUUAGUCUCCAUGAUGGUUUAGUUCGUCUCCAUGAUCCUGUGAAUUUCAGAUGUUGAAAAUCUUCGGAAAAGCCCUGAAAGAUGAACAGUGGUCUCAAAUAGUCAAGACCCCCUGCUGGGAGGAGCUUCUAUCCUGCUCUGUGGAA
rnacentral:lncRNA from 10 species